CACGUCUGCCUGGGUGUCACAAA
rnacentral:siRNA from 1 species